rnacentral:rRNA from 1 species
GAUGAACGCUGGCGGCGUGCCUAAUACAUGCAAGUCGAACGGAGUUGUUGUAGCAAUACGGCAACUUAGUGGCGAACGGGUGAGUAACGCGUUGGUGACCUGCCCCGAAGAGGGGGAUAACAGUCCGAAAGGAUUGCUAAUACCCCAUGUGGUUACCGGUUUUAGAAUCCGGCAACUAAAGUCGUAAGACACUUUGGGAGGGACCUGCGUCCCAUCAGCUAGUUGGUAAGGUAACGGCUUACCAAGGCGACGACGGGUAGGGGACCUGAGAGGGUGGACCCCCACAAUGGCACUGAAACACGGGCCAUACACCUACGGGUGGCAG